rnacentral:rRNA from 1 species
UACAGAGGUCUCAAGCGUUGUUCGGAUUCAUUGGGCGUAAAGGGCGCGUAGGCGCCUUGUAAGUCGAAUGUGAAAGCCCAGGGCUCAACCUUGGAAGUGCAUCCGAAACUGCAAGGCUCGAAUCUCGGAGAGGGUGGUGGAAUUCCCAGUGUAGAGGUGAAAUUCGUAGAUAUUGGGAGGAACACCGGUGGCGAAGGCGACCACCUGGACGAAGAUUGACGCUGAGGCGCGAAAGCGUGGGGAGCAAACAGG